CACCGCCUGGGGAGUACGACCGCAAGGUUAAAACUCAAAUGAAUUGACGGGGAUCCGCACAAGUAGUGGAGCAUGUGGUUUAAUUCGAAGAUACGCGCAGAACCUUACCAACACUUGACAUGUUCGUCGCGACUUUAAGAGAUUAAAGUUUUCGGUUCGGCCGGACGAAACACAGGUGCUGCAUGGCUGUCGUCAGCUCGUGUCGUGAGAUGUUGGGUUAAGCCCCGCAACGAGCGCAACCCUCACUUUUAGUUGCCAUCAUUUAGUUGGGCACUCUGAAAGAACUGCCAGUGAUAAGCUGGAGGAAGGUGGGGAUGACGUCAAGUCCUCAUGGCCCUUACGUGUUGGGCUACACACGUGCUACAAUGGUAUCUACAACAGGAAGCAAAACGGCGACGUUAAGCAAAUCCUUAAAAGAUACCUCAGUUCGGAUUGCACUCUGCAACUCGAGUGCAUGAAGCUGGAAUUACUAGUAAUCGUGGAUCAGCGUGCCACGGUGAAUGCGUUCCCGGGUCUUGUACACACCGCCCGUCACACCAUGGGAGUUGGUUCUACCUUAAGGCAAGGUUUCAAACCCUUGACCACGGUAUAGUCAGCGACUGGGGGUGAAGUCGUAACAAGGUAGCCGUAGGGGAACCUGCGGCUGGAUUACCUCCUUUCUAAGGAUGAAUGAAAGUAAAAUUUCAUUCUAAAUAAUAUACAGGGUAAUGUUGACCGUCCUCAUUUUCUCUUCUUAAAGUAGUGUUUCUCUUGCAUGGGGGCCGGUAGCUCACUUGGUUAGAGCACACCCUUGAUAAGGGUGGGGUCGAAAGUUUGAGUCUUUCUCGGCCCACCAAUUUUAAGAUCAUGGGGGAUUAGCUCAGCUGGGAGAGCGCCUGAUUUGCAUUCAGGAGGUCAGCGGUUCGAUCCCGCUAUCCUCCACCAAAACACUUAGUUAUAAAAAUUGUGAAUAAAAUAAUAAUUAAUAUCAAUAUCUAUAUCCGAACAUUAGUAAUGUUAUUAGCUAAUGUUCUAAAUAAAAAUUUGAUUCAACACAGAAUUUUUUUCUG
rnacentral:sRNA from 1 species